rnacentral:rRNA from 1 species
UACGUAGGGUGCGAGCGUUGUCCGGAAUUAUUGGGCGUAAAGAGCUCGUAGGCGGUUUGUUGCGUCUAUCGUGAAAACCUGCGGCUUAACUGUGGGCUUGCGGUGGAUACGGGCAGACUUGAGUUCGGUAGGGGAGACUGGAAUUCCUGGUGUAGCGGUGAAAUGCGCAGAUAUCAGGAGGAACACCGGUGGCGAAGGCGGGCUCUGGGCCGAUACUGACGCUGAGGAGCGAAAGCGUGGGGAGCGAACAGG